rnacentral:rRNA from 1 species
GGGUUGUGAGGUUAAGCGACUAAGCGUACACGGUGGAUGCCCUGGCAGUCAGAGGCGAUGAAGGGCGUGCUAAUCUGCGAUAAGCGCCGGUAAGGUGAUAUGAACCGUUAUAACCGGCGAUACCCGAAUGGGGAAACCCAGUGUGAUUCGUCACACUAUCAUUAACUGAAUCCAUAGGUUAAUGAGGCGAACCGGGGGAACUGAAACAUCUAAGUACCCCGAGGAAAAGAAAUCAACCGAGAUUCCCCCAGUAGCGGCGAGCGAACGGGGAGGAGCCCAGAGCCUGAAUCAGCAUGUGUGUUAGUGGAAGCGUCUGGAAAGGCGCGCGAUACAGGGUGACAGCCCCGUACACAAAAGCGCAUGUGCUGUGAGCUCGAUGAGUAGGGCGGGACACGUGGUAUCCUGUCUGAAUAUGGGGGGACCAUCCUCCAAGGCUAAAUACUCCUGACUGACCGAUAGUGAACCAGUACCGUGAGGGAAAGGCGAAAAGAACCCCGGCGAGGGGAGUGAAAAAGAACCUGAAACCGUGUACGUACAAGCAGUGGGAGCACCCUUUGGGUGUGACUGCGUACCUUUUGUAUAAUGGGUCAGCGACUUAUAUUCUGUAGCAAGGUUAACCGAAUAGGGGAGCCGGAGGGAAACCGAGUCUUAACCGGGCGUUAAGUU